AUCAGAGAGGCACCAGGUAAACAAUGCACAUAAGAAGCAGUGUUGAUUUCUGAAGGAGACAUGGAGAGAUGGAAAAAAGCUAGCCCAACAGAAACCAAUAAACACUGUCUGUAGAUGGAAAAGGGACUACAUCAUCAGACUGAUUCAGUUCUACAAGUUCAA